rnacentral:rRNA from 1 species
UACGUAGGGUGCGAGCGUUAAUCGGAAUUACUGGGCGUAAAGCGUGCGCAGGCGGUUCGUUAUGUCCGAUGUGAAAGCCCCGAGCUCAACUUGGGAAUGGCAUUGGAAACUGGCGGGCUGGAGUGUGGCAGAGGGGGGUGGAAUUCCACGUGUAGCAGUGAAAUGCGUAGAGAUGUGGAGGAACACCAGUGGCGAAGGCGACUCUCUGGACUGUAACUGACGCUGAGGCGCGAAAGCGUGGGGAGCAAACAGG